rnacentral:rRNA from 1 species
UAGAGUUUGAUCCUGGCUCAGAUUGAACGCUGGCGGAAUGCUUUACACAUGCAAGUCGAACGGCAGCACGGGAGCUUGCUCCUGGUGGCGAGUGGCGAACGGGUGAGUAACAUAUCGGAACGUACCCAGACGUGGGGGAUAACUAGUCGAAAGACUAGCUAAUACCGCAUACGUCCUGAGGGAGAAAGCGGGGGAUCGGUAACGACCUCGCGCGUUUGGAGCGGCCGAUAUCUGAUUAGCUAGAUGGUGAGGUAAAAGCUCACCAUGGCGACGAUCAGUAGCUGGUCUGAGAGGAUGAUCAGCCACACUGGGACUGAGACACGGCCCAGACUCCUACGGGAGGCAGCAGUGGGGAAUUUUGGACAAUGGGCGAAAGCCUGAUCCAGCCAUUCCGCGUGAGUGAAGAAGGCCUUCGGGUUGUAAAGCUCUCUCGGCAGGAACGAAACGGCGGGGUCUAAUACACCCUGUUAAUGACGGUACCUGAAGAAGAAGCCCGGCUAGCUCGUGCCAGCAGCCGCGGUAA